rnacentral:rRNA from 1 species
AUUGAACGCUGGCGGCAGGCUUAACACAUGCAAGUCGAGCGGGGGAGGUUGCUUCGGUAACUGACCUAGCGGCGGACGGGUGAGUAAUGCUUAGGAAUCUGCCUAUUAGUGGGGGACAACAUUCCGAAAGGGAUGCUAAUACCGCAUACGCCCUACGGGGGAAAGCAGGGGAUCUGCGGACCUUGCGCUAAUCGAUGAGGCUAAGUCGGAUUAGCUAGUUGGGGGGGUAAAGGCCUACCAAGGCGACGAUCUGUAGGGGGUCUGAGAGGAUGAUCCGCCACACUGGGACUGAGACACGGCCCAGACUCCUACGGGAGGCAGCAGUGGGGAAUAUUGGACAAUGGGCGGAAGCCUGAUCCAGCCAUGCCGCGUGUGUGAAGAAGGCCUUUUGGUUGUAAAGCACUUUAAGCGAGGAGGAGGCUCUUAAGGUUAAUACCCUUGAUGAGUGGACGUUACUCGCAGAAUAAGCACCGGCUAACUCUGUGCCAGCAGCCGCCGUAAUAC